AAAAAUAUAGUAUAAAUAAAUACACUUCAUUUACACUGAAGAAAUAUUCUAAACGCUGAGUUAUUUUUA
rnacentral:tRNA from 1 species